UUGCUCUCUGGGUGGCGAGUGGCGGACGGGUGAGGAAUACAUCGGAAUCUACUUUUUCGUGGGGGAUAACGUAGGGAAACUUACGCUAAUACCGCAUACGACCUACGGGUGAAAGCAGGGGAUCUUCGGACCUUGCGCGAUUGAAUGAGCCGAUGUCGGAUUAGCUAGUUGGCGGGGUAAAGGCCCACCAAGGCGACGAUCCGUAGCUGGUCUGAGAGGAUGAUCAGCCACACUGGAACUGAGACACGGUCCAGACUCCUACGGGAGGCAGCAGUGGGGAAUAUUGGACAAUGGGCGCAAGCCUGAUCCAGCCAUACCGCGUGGGUGAAGAAGGCCUUCGGGUUGUAAAGCCCUUUUGUUGGGAAAGAAAUCCAGCUGGCUAAUACCCGGUUGGGAUGACGGUACCCAAAGAAUAAGCACCGGCUAACUUCGUGCCAGCAGCCGCGGUAAUACGAAGGGUGCAAGCGUUACUCGGAAUUACUGGGCGUAAAGCGUGCGUAGGUGGUCGUUUAAGUCCGUUGUGAAAGCCCUGGGCUCAACCUGGGAACUGCAGUGGAUACUGGGCGACUAGAGUGUGGUAGAGGGUAGCGGAAUUCCUGGUGUAGCAGUGAAAUGCGUAGAGAUCAGGAGGAACAUCCAUGGCGAAGGCAGCUACCUGGACCAACACUGACACUGAGGCACG
rnacentral:rRNA from 1 species